CGCUGACAACUCACAUCUUCAAUUUACCAUUAUUUUGAGCUUUGCAAGUACGAAACAACAUGAACGGCAGAAUCUUAUUUCUUAUUUGUGUGAUUGGAAUACUAAUUUCAGAAACAUUCACUGUCGAAGCAACAUCAUACAGUGGACCCAAACAUAGACGUAGCAAAGGACGCUCGUUUGAUCUGAAUCAGCUUGGCGAUUCAAACGAUCAAGAAAGACGGGAAUACGAUAAUGCUGAGCGAAGAUUUGCUCAAGAUGAAGACAACCACCAGUUCGAUUAGUUGCGAACGCCGUAUUAUUUGUCAUAGUACCACGAACGUUUGUGGUAUUAAUGAAAUGUUCAUACAUAAUGUGACAUCUAGAAAUUAACUUAUGGUGACUAAGAUUUUAUUUGAGAAUAUAUAAUUGCAAAUGAUCAUAUUAUAUU